GCCGGUGUAGCACAGCGGUAGUGCAGCGGUUUUGUAAACCGAAGGUCGGG
rnacentral:tRNA from 1 species